rnacentral:rRNA from 1 species
AUUGAACGCUAGCGGGAUGCUUUACACAUGCAAGUCGAACGAGUGGCGGACGGGUGAGUAAUAUAUCGGAACGUGCCCAGUAGCGGGGGAACACAUCCCGAAAGAGGGGCGAAUACCGUAAACUUUUGUGGGGGCCGAUAUGGGAUUAGGUGGUUGGUGGGGUAAAGGCACACCAAGGAAACGAUCCGUAGCUGGUUUGAGAGGACGACCAGCUACACUGGAACUGAGACACGGCCCAGACUCCUACGGGAGGCAGCAGUGGGGAAUAUUGGACAAUGGGGGAAACCCUGAUCCAGCCAUCCCGCGUGUAUGAGAAGGCCUUCGGGUUGUAAAGUACUUUUGGCAGGGAAGCGGUAUCUGCAGAAUAAGCACCGGCUAACUACGUGCCAGCAGCCGCGGUAAUAC